GAUGAACGCUGGCGGCGUGCUUAACACAUGCAAGUCGAACGAGAAGUGGAGACGGAAACCUUCGGGCGGAAGACUUUACUUCGAGUGGCGGACGGGUGAGUAACGCGUGGGUAACCUGCCUCAUACAGGGGGAUAACAGUUGGAAACGACUGUUAAUACCGCAUAAGACCACAGCACCGCAUGGUGCGGGGGUAAAAACUCCGGUGGUAUGAGAUGGACCCGCGUUCGAUUAGCCAGUUGGCGGGGUAACGGCCCACCAAAGCGACGAUCGAUAGCCGAUCUGAGAGGAUGACCGGCCACAUUGGGACUGAGACACGGCCCAAACUCCUACGGGAGGCAGCAGUGGGGAAUAUUGCACAAUGGGGGAAACCCUGAUGCAGCGACGCCGCGUGAGUGAAGAAGUAUUUCGGUAUGUAAAGCUCUAUCAGCAGGGAAGAAAAUGACAGUACCUGAGUAAGAAGCCCCGGCUAACUACGUG
rnacentral:rRNA from 1 species